rnacentral:lncRNA from 1 species
CCGAUGGUCCCGCCUCUGAUCUACUCCUCUUGUUCUAUGCCAUGAGAUGUUGAAGCCUAUAUUGAAUCAUUAGCAAGUAUCCUUCGCUCCGGCGGCCUUUCUCUUCCCAGUCCUCGAGACACAUUCCGCUUUUCUUAUCUCCAAUCCAUAAGUUAAGCUCUCCCAAAUCGCUUCUCAAGCUUUCUAAUUCUUGAGUUACGCUCUCGAGAGCGUACUUANNN